rnacentral:misc_RNA from 1 species
UGCUGGUCGAGAGAGGACACGACAA